UACGUAGGGGGCAAGCGUUGUCCGGAUUUAUUGGGCGUAAAGAGCGUGUAGGCGGCCAGACAGGUCCGUUGUGAAAACUCGAGGCUCAACCUCGAGACGUCGGUUGAAACCAUCUGGCUAGAGUCCGGAAGAGGAGAGUGGAAUUCCCGGUGUAGCGGUGAAAUGCGCAGAUAUCGGGAAGAACACCCGUGGCGAAGGCGGCUCUCUGGGACGGUACUGACGCUGAGACGCGAAAGCGUGGGGAGCGAACAGG
rnacentral:rRNA from 1 species